UGGGGAAUAUUGCACAAUGGGGGAAACCCUGAUGCAGCGACGCUGCGUGAAGGAAGAAGUAUUUCGGUAUGUAAACUUCUAUCAGCAAGGAAGAUAAUGACGGUACUUGACUAAGAAGCCCCGGCUGACUACGUGCCAGCAGCCGCGGUAAUACGUAGGGGGCAAGCGUUAUCCGGAUUUACUGGGUGUAAAGGGAGCGUAGGUGGCAUGGCAAGUCAGAUGUGAAAGCCCGGGGCUCAACCCCGGGACUGCAUUUGAAACUGCCAGGCUGGAGUGCAGGAGAGGUAAGUGGAAUUCCUAGUGUAGCGGUGAAAUGCGUAGAUAUUAGGAGGAACACCAGUGGCGAAGGCGGCUUACUGGACUGUAACUGACACUGAGGCUCGAAAGCGUGGGGAGCAACCAG
rnacentral:rRNA from 1 species